CAAUAAGAGACAGCAAGGGUGAAGGGGUUGACUUUAUUUGAUAUUUGAUUUACCUUCCUCGCCAUUUGAAUGAGUCACUGCUUGGUGUUGAUUUUCAAUUCAUCUACUUUUGGAGUACCAGAAUCUUUAAUGAUAAAAAGAAAAAGAUGGCUUCAUUUAGAAGAGAUGAAGAAACUGGGACCCUGCAUGAGAAGUGGUGGGAAAGAUCAUGGAGGCAGUGUGGACUGCAAGGCUGAACUACACAGAUCUGUCCAUCCAGGACUGAUUCUCCAAGGAAAGCAGGAAGAGGGUAAAUGACAACAGGUGGGGAGGUGGCUCCAACCAGCUUUCCUGGCUCACCAUGUUCCUAACACGGGCUGUACUCAAGGCAAAAACAGUGACCGCAAGUUGCAAAAUCUGAAGACUCUCC
rnacentral:lncRNA from 1 species